rnacentral:ncRNA from 1 species
ACGAUAAUGGCAAACCUAUCGAAAGAUAGGGACGCAAAGCUAUAGGGCCUUCCCGUCAUAGACGGAUGGUAGCCAGCUACCGA